rnacentral:rRNA from 1 species
AUACGUAGGGUGCAAGCGUUAAUCGGAAUUACUGGGCGUAAAGCGUGCGCAGGCGGUUUUGUAAGACAGAGGUGAAAUCCCCGGGCUCAACCUGGGAACUGCCUUUGUGACUGCAAGGCUAGAGUACGGCAGAGGGGGAUGGAAUUCCGCGUGUAGCAGUGAAAUGCGUAGAUAUGAGGAGGAACACCGAUGGCGAAGGCAAUCCCCGGGGCCUGUUCUGACGCUCAUGCACGAAAGCGUGGGGAGCAAACAGGAUUAGAUACCCUGGUAGUCCACGCCCUAAACGAUGUCAACUGGUUGUUGGGUCUUCAUUGACUCAGUAACGAAGCUAACGCGUGAAGUUGACCGCCUGGGGAGUACGGCCGCAAGGUUGAAACUCAAAUGAAUUGCCGGGG